rnacentral:ncRNA from 1 species
GUAUUCUUGCGCGCAUGAACCGCAUCCAGUCCGAACUCCGACGUCGCCGCUCGCCGCUCCCUUAGGGGCGCGUGGCUUCGUUAUGAAUUCGCGUCGGUGCAUCACACGUCACUCGCGAUUCGGAUCAUGAAAGCCACGGCAUGCCGUGGCUUUUUU